rnacentral:rRNA from 1 species
AUCUUCCACAAUGGGCGCAAGCCUGAUGGAGCAACACCGCGUGAGUGAAGAAGGGUUUCGGCCCGUAAAGCUCUGUUGUUGUAGAAGAACGUGCGUGAGAGUAAUUGUUCACGCAGUGANGGUAUCCAACCAGAAAGUCACGGGCACCUAAGUGCCAGCAGCCGCGGUAAUACGUAGGUGGCAAGCGUUAUCCGGAUUUAUUGGGCGUAAAGCGAGCGCAGGCGGUUGCUUAGGUCUGAUGUGAAAGCCUUCGGCUUAACCGAAGAAGUGCAUCGGAAACCGGGCGACUUGAGUGCAGAAGAGGACAGUGGAACUCCAUGUGUAGCGGUGGAAUGCGUAGAUAUAUGGAAGAACACCAGUGGCGAAGGCGGCUGUCUGGUCUGCAACUGACGCUGAGGCUCGAAAGCAUGGGUAGCGAA